rnacentral:rRNA from 1 species
GAUGAACGCUGGCGGCGUGCCUAAUACAUGCAAGUCGAGCGAACAGAUAAGGAGCUUGCUCCUUUGACGUUAGCGGCGGACGGGUGAGUUACACGUGGAUAACCUACCUAUAAGACUGGGAUAACUUCGGGAAACCGGAGCUAAUACCGGAUAACAUAUUGAACCGCAUGGUUCAAUAGUGAAAGGCGGCUUUGCUGUCACUUAUAGAUGGAUCCGCGCCGUAUUAGCUAGUUGGUAAGGUAACGGCUUACCAAGGCAACGAUACGUAGCCGACCUAAGAGGGUGAUCGGCCACACUGGAACUGAGACACGGUCCAGACUCCUACGGGAGGCAGCAGUAGGGAAUCUUCCGCAAUGGGCGAAAGCCUGACGGAGCAACGCCGCGUGAGUGAUGAAGGUCUUCGGAUCGUAAAACUCUGUUAUCAGGGAAGAACAAAUGUGUAAGUAACUGUGCACAUCUUGACGGUACCUGAUCAGAAAGCCACGGCUAACUACGUG